CAGUAUUGGGUGAUAUAAUUGGCGAUUGCCGAUUUCGUUUGAUGCCUGAUAGACCCCUUCUCCCGAAUUAAUCAAUGAUUUCUGCUCCAGUCUUGUAAACGACCGUCCAGUCCAGGUGGUCUGGGACCAGCUUGUGGCACCUCGGGCAUUCGGAGCCAGGCUUUUUGUCACUCGUCGUAGCCGGCGGCACGUCUGGGCAAUGCUUGUAAAGUUCCCCCUUCUUGAAUUUAUCACAAAGUAUGAGCUGGUUGACGAAAUGUCCGCAGCCGUACACCGUGUGGGUAUUUUGGCACAUCUUUACGAUUAUUCUGUCCACCAGUAUUGUUAAUUUUCAUGCAUAAAAACACAAAUCACAGCUACGCACUACUAUCACUAAGUAGUCCUGUGACUGAUGUGUAACCAAAAUGGAUCUAGGAAUCUUACCUAGAAUAACUAUGUCGAGAUAUGUGAAGGUAUCCAACGUAUCAAAAUGGAGAUUGAUGGCUGAAGAGGCGUGAUAGAAAAAGUUCUGAAUGAAAGCGUCCCGGCGAAGUGAAACGAAUAUUCGAAAUAUUUUUGAUGCCUGCUCAAACGAGAUAUAGAAGACGGGAGUCCAAUAUGCGUCGCAACAAUUUGUUCAUAUUCGAAGCUGACUGGCGCUAUUUAUUGAAGCAACUUGUUAACUCGGUUUCUACCCAUGAGUUCUCUUCGACAAAUUGUGAAACAAUGCCACUGUGACCACUAAGACCUGUGCUGCUUGAAAUGGGGGAGAAGAUUCCGAAUAAGAGAAAAGAAAAGUGCCUCCAGGCGGCGGUUUCCGCAGACACUGUUAUCAGGCCCGGCUCUAUACAUACUACUCUUGGGAGUUGGGUAUCAUAUAGAAACAAACAAAGAGUUGUAACAAGGCGAUUGUGAGAUAAAGCAGGAGGAAUAAAGAGAAGCAUUGUCUGUUUCAAACCCUUACUUUCUACCAUCACUG
rnacentral:sRNA from 1 species